rnacentral:rRNA from 1 species
GAUGAACGCUAGCUACAGGCUUAACACAUGCAAGUCGAGGGGCAGCAUGAAAGGAACUUCGGUUCUUUUUGAUGGCGACCGGCGCACGGGUGCGUAACGCGUAUCGAACCUGCCUCAUACUCGGGGAUAGCCUUGCGAAAGUAAGAUUAAUACCCGGCGGUCUCGGAUGGCCGCAUGACUGUCCGAGUGAAGAUUUAUCGGUAUGAGAUGGCGAUGCGUCCCAUUAGCUUGUUGGUGGGGUAACGGCUCACCAAGGCAUCGAUGGGUAGGGGUUCUGAGAGGAAGGUCCCCCACAUUGGAACUGAGACACGGUCCAAACUCCUACGGGAGGCAGCAGUGAGGAAUAUUGGUCAAUGGACGAAAGUCUGAACCAGCCAAGUAGCGUGCAGGAUGACGGCCCUCUGGGUUGUAAACUGCUUUUAGUUGGGAAUAAAAAGAGGGACGUGUCCCUUAUUGUAUGUACCAUCAGAAAAAGGACCGGCUAAUUCCGUGCCAGCAGCCGCGGUAAUACGGAAGGUCCAGGCGUUAUCCGGAUUUAUUGGGUUUAAAGGGAGCGCAGGCGGCGGCGUAAGUCAGUUGUGAAAUCGUGCGGCUUAACCGUGCAAUUGCAGUUGAUACUGCGUCGCUAGAGUGCACACAGGGAUGUUGGAAUUCAUGGUGUAGCGGUGAAAUGCUUAGAUAUCAUGAAGAACUCCGAUCGCGAAGGCAUAUGUCCGGAGUGCAACUGACGCUGAGGCUCGAAAGUGUGGGUAUCAAACAGG